AUUGAACGCUGGCGGCAUGCCUAACACAUGCAAGUCGAACGAGUGGCGGACGGGUGAGUAAUGUCUGGGAAACUGCCUGAUGGAGGGGGAUAACUACUGGAAACGGUAGCUAAUACCGCAUACCAUCGGAUGUGCCCAGAUGGGCUUAGCUAGUUGGUGGGGUAAAGGCUCACCUAGGCGACGAUCCCUAGCUGGUCUGAGAGGAUGACCAGCCACACUGGGACUGAGACACGGUCCAGACUCCUACGGGAGGCAGCAGUGGGGAAUAUUGCACAAUGGGCGCAAGCCUGAUGCAGCCAUGCCGGGUGUAUGAAGAAGGCCUUCGGGUUGUAAAGUACUUUCAGCGGGGAGGCGUUACCCAAAGAAGAAGCAACGGCUAAAUCCGUGCCAACAGCCGCGGUAAUUC
rnacentral:rRNA from 1 species